rnacentral:lncRNA from 1 species
AUUAUUUGCUAUUAUGAAGUAGGGGGCAAGUGAUAUAUAUUAAUUUCAGAAGGAGAAAAACUAAGAAUUUUUGGUUAUAGACUAAUGAUGCUACAAACCUCAACUCAACUACUAAUACAUUAUCAAAUCUUUACAUUUAGAAUGGUUAAUUUUUAUUUUUAAUUAAAAUCUACGUAUAAACAAUUUUUAUUUUGUUUAACAUAUUCUUCUCUAAUGUAAACAUAACUAUUUUUUUUAAUCUAAACAAAUUGUUUUCCUUUUUCUUGUUUUUGAUUUGAUUGUCACGAAUGAAUUAGCUAGCACAAAAUGUUACAUCAAAAUCUACUCCCCUUGUUAAUGUCGUUUCCUCCUAUUAUAGAGAUGGAUUUGCUUAAAAUUAAUCUCAAUAAAAAUUAAGAUUAUGAUGGUAAUUUACUUCGAACUCCCAUUCAAUAAGACAAGAUUUAAGAACCCAUCAUUCAAAAUGCAUGAUUUACGUGCUUUUAUAACAUUUGUUGAAUCAAAGUUAAACUUCGAUUUUGGUAUCAAGCUUUCCUAAAAGGUGAUACUGUCGUAUUGCAAGUCACAGUUUAAAAAACUCUGCCUUCUAAUCUAAGUUUGGCAAUAAAUAUAGUUAAAAAUAAUAAUGAAACAAAAAUCGAAAUGGAAUUUGUCAGCAACCAUAUUGAAAACAAUUUUGAAGGAAAGAGGGAGCAGAGUCAAUUGUCAUAAAUAUAGGUCCCAAUUUCUGACUCAGCUCCGAGUAUGACUUGCGAAAGUUGGCAUGUAUGUUUUUGUUAAUGACAUUCCAUGGCAUGAAAGGCAUGACAUGACAUACAUGAUGAUGAAUCAUUGAUGCUGGCCAUCUAUUGCGAAACCAUAGAUGGCAAGUUGAAAUAUCUUUUUUCUCUUUUGGGGUGCAUGUGGUGUUUGAAAAGGGUUCGAUUUUGGGAUCUUUUGAAAAAAGUGAAGUUGAAUUGAAAAAUGAAAAUAAAAGAAAAGUGUAAUUGUAUUUAUGCAUUUAACAGAAUGGCGAUUUUGUCCUUUCUAGAAAUCUUUUUCAUCACUCAUAUCCAUGAUUAAUUUGUAAUACCCUAUCUUACAUCAAAGCUGUGAAAGAAAAAAAAAAAAAAUAUAUAUAUAUAUAUAUACACACACAUACACACACUGUUAAAGAGUAUAUGUCAUAUUUUAAUAAGGUAAUGAACUAGUUUAGUUUAAAUUACUAGAGGUUUUGGGUAAUCAAUUUGUUUGUAAAAAUGCUCCAUAGUUUUAUAUUUUUUGUGAUUAUUUGCGCAUAAAUAGUGUAUUCUUUUUGGUGAUUAUUUACAUACCUAACGGAAAAUGAGGUUUUCAAAAUAAAUACCAAAAAAAUCUGAUUAAGAUAAUUUUAAAAUAUCGUAUCGUACAGGCUACACAUAAUCAGGAUAAUAAGUCACAACUAAAAAAGAUGUGUCAUCGUCGCCUUGUUUGUUUAUUCGUUUAGUUUGUUGAAUGAUGAAAAUUAGAGGCAAAGCCAACAGACAUGGAAGGGAAUAGUUGGGACCCACUCCACAUCGGCAACACAUGGCGCUGUGUUGGAUUUUUUUGAGUUUGUAAUUGCACGUCAAGAAUUAAUUUCAAUCACGUCUCUUCUUUUGCGUCUCCAAAUUUCAACCUAUGUUUAUCCAUUUAGCAUGACAUUUUAUUAUUAUUAUUUGUUUUUGGUAUUUUUAAAUUCCCGCUAUUAGACAGCCAUCAUUUUUGUUUUCAUAUUUUUGGCCUUGGUUACUUAGGUCAGUUUCUUUUCUACUUGAAAUUUAAAUAAAAUCUUGUAAUUAAAUCUCUUGUACGACUAAAGUUAAUUUUUUUUUAAUAAAUGCCUAUAUUUUAUCAAAAGAAAAGAAGAGAAGAAGUCACAAUCAGAUUACAAGCCAAAUUUAUAUUUCGGUAUACCCCAUGAAUCGUCAUGCAAUUUUACAAGUUCAUCAAAGAUAAUCAUAUUUUCAAAGAAUUUUAACCUACAAUUUCAUUUUAGUCUAUUUUGUAAGGAUUUGUAAUAUCUACAUUUUUCGUAGUCAUAAUUCUUUUUCAUAUUAUUAUGUUGACAACAAUCACUUUUAGAAUAUCCAAUCCAACCGCCAACUAAUUAUUUCAACUAAAUAAUCUAAACCUACCAAGUUCUUCCAACUUGAAAUGAUGCUUAUGAAUCUCCUCGUUAUAGCAUCCCUUAAUCCAUAAAUGCACACAUAUAUGUAUCAAAAUUACUUAGGAUAAUGACGGUUGGUGAGGCAUCACAACUCUAUGUCUAUAUCACAUAAAAAUUUUCUACCAUUUGCUUUCUUUUAUUUUAUCUUUCGUGUGAAGAAAUUUGAAAAAACAAAAAGUGUCAACAAUCAUUAGUUGGAAUUCAAAUUCCACUUGCUAGAAAUUAUAUAUGUAUACCAAGAAAGUGUUUCCAUAAAAGCUUUCAACUGUUGUUAUUCACAAGUCACAACCCACGUGCAUGUACAUUUAUUUUUCUUUCAUUUAGUCUAAAUCUGGGGCAAUAUAGAGCCCCGAUUCUUUUAACCUACUAGUUUUGAAUUUUAUAGCAUUUUGACUGUAGAACAUUAGGGAACAAAAAAUCCUGUAUGUGGAUUUUCUUUUGACUUGGAUAACCAAUUAUAAACAAACAAAUAAAUAUUUGAGAUGAAUGGAUUUACAUGACUUCAUGCAGCCAUGACAACUUAUCAGAGUUAAAUUUCAAAAAUGUGUAAUCCAAACAAGUAAGUGGCGGAGCCAGAAUUUGGCCUGGCGGCUUAGUACAAUUUUUGUUAAAAAAAAUGUGUUAACAAAUUUUUAAAAAAUAAUUACUACAGGAAAUAAAAACUAAUACAAACAUAAAAACAUUUUUUUAAUAUAGAAACUCUAGUUUUAAAGACUUUUACGAUGCGUUUAUUUCUUCGGUAUUGGAAUGGAAGGAAUAUGAAUGGAUCAGAAUUCGAAUGGGGUAUAAGAAUCAAAAUAAGUUAUUUACUUAAGAUGUAAGAAUUGGAUUUAUAAAGAGUUGUAUUCCAUUGAUCUAUUUCCUUUAUCUUAUAAUUGGAAUGGAUUUCUAUAAGUUCAUAGAUUGCCCUUAAUUACAAUUAUUUAUUUAUUCACUAUCAAAAUAAAAAAUAAAUAUUACUACCAUUAUUAUUAUUAUUAUGAUUAUAUGAUAAAAUAAUGAAAAUUAUUAUUACUCUAUUCCUAUUAUUUUGAUUAUAAAUAUUAUGAUGAUGCUGAUGGUGAUAAUUUACUACUUAAACUGGAGUAAAAAAAAGAAUUUUUUUUUAAAUUUUUAAAUUUUGUUUAAGAAUAAAAAUAUCAAUUUUAUUCCUCAUUUCUAUUUUCCUGUUUUAAUUCCCACCUCUUCUAUAGGAAUGAAAUUCCUAUUUCUCAUUCUCAAACUCAUGAACCCCACUUUAAAUCCCACUUUAAAUCCAUACUCAUUUCUUAAUAUUUUGAGUGAGUAAACAUUAUCAAUAACGGACAGGAAUCAUUCUCGUAUCCACCUUAGAUGAAAAGGUGAACGUGCCCCAACAUUUUUUGUAGUCCUGAAGGACUCAUUGAGGCCGGUUUACUUGGUUGUGUAGUUCCUCUCUCUCCUAAAUACCCGAUUAAGAAACUGGAUUGAUAGGAAUCAUUCUCAUUCCCUGUUAAAAGAAGUAGUAAACCAUAAGCUCUUGGUCCCGGUUAUAUAAAAGAGAGCAAAUUGAGAUUUGAGAAGGAUGAACGGAUAGGGAUAGAACUGAUUGGUUGUUAACAAGAUGCCAAAAAUGGUGAGUUUGGGCUCAACUAUAUUGAAAAAUUUAUUGGUAAUUUAUGCCUAUUACAAAAAUAUAAUUUGGGCUUGGACAAAAUAAAACUUGAGUUGAACUAUUGGUAGCCUUCUAUAAUCCUUUUAAAACUCCUCUCCUAUUGUAAUUACAUUAAAGGACAAAAUAAAUCUAGUUACACUAUUAUAUUUCUCUUUUCAACUCUUUACACCAUACAACUACAUCAAAGUCUUUUACAAUUUUUAUUUCCUCACAAACAACUUUUCUUGAGAAAUUUACAAAUUUUAUUUUUAAUUUAAAAAAUAAAUAAUAGCUAUUUGAGUCCACUUUAAUUUACUAAACUUUCUAAUAAUAAGUUUUGUAAACUUAAUUUUAAUUACAAAACUUUCUAAACUUAUUUUUAAUUUAAAAAAAAUAAUGGUUAUUUGAGUCCAUUGUAAUUCUACUUAAUUCGUACAUGUAUUUGAUUUUUUUUUUUCAGUAAAAUAUGUAUGAUUUAAUAAUUCAAAAAUUUAUAAAAAGAAUAUUUGUAAUUAGAGCUAUUUGGAAGAAACUAAAUUGUUUUUCUUUCUGAAUAAAAAAAUUAAAAAAAUAGAAAAGGAUAUUUUGGGAAUUAAAGUAGGUUUUGGUAGAAAAAGGGGUUUGAAAAAAAAGUUAUAGGAUGCUAAUAGUCUCACUCAUAAAACUUUUUAAACAUAAAUUGAGCUUCAAUAAACAAGAUUUCAAGGGUCCAACCAACUUCUAGGUCAUAGCUUGGUCGUCUCUGUCUCUUUGAACACUAGUAAUGGGAAAAUAGCUACUCCCUCUAUUUACAUUCUAUUCGAUAACUUACUCAUACUUUUUUCCUAGUACUCCUAUUUUUCCUAGUACUCCAUUAUCCUUUUGUCACUAAAAUUUUAAUGGUGCAUUUACUAAUCAAUAAUCAGAAUAAAUUAUUUAUUUGAGUUGGAGGCAUCAAAAUCAAAAUGGGCUGCAUUUUUAUUAAUGUUUUUACUUUAUUUUGGAAUCAAAAUUAA